CUUGUAAGAGACCAGGGCUGGGAGAGAAGGGGCUGAGUGACCUCCCCUAACCUGCCAAACAUGAGCUGAGAGACCGGGUCAUGGGAGAACUUAACGGCCAAACAACCUGAGUCAGAUCAUUUGUCCAGAAAGACAGCAAGAAAGAGAAAGAUCCCCUGGCAGAACCAGGGGAAAGAGGGACUGGAAGCUGAGGAUGUCUUACCAUGAAAUGGGAGAACUGGAGAAAGAGAGUAAGGACACCAAGGUUUUUAAUUGAUUAAGACAAAACCUGAUAAGGUGAAACUUUUCUUGAAAGAGGCAUAACUUCCAAAUACAAAAAGACAUGGUCUCAUUCCGUAGCCCCGGGAUAGAGCACAGCUGUGCAAUCACAACUCACUGCAGCCUAGAGUUUCCAGGCUCAAGCCCCCGGCUCAGCCUCCCAUGUAUCUGGGACUACAGGUGCCCAUGCAGGAGGGAGGAGAAAUUGACCCAGGCAAUGGAUAGGCUGGAGCAGAAUGCCUUAGAAGCUGAGACUCAAGAAGGUCCACCACCCCUGGAAGUUCCAUCAACUUUAAAAAAUAAAGUGUGAGUGCCUCUAGUGUUCAGCAUGUUCAUAUCUACGAUCUCACUAGAAGCCAUAAGAGCUGUAGCAACCAACACGCCAGGUACCCAUUUUUCAGAAGAGGAGGCUGAGGCUUAGCCUGCUAGAUCUGUGCCCUCUCGGUAGAGGGCAGGGGCUGAAAUGCAAGUCUUUUCACACCACCUCUUGUACUUUCCCACGAAUCGUGCCAACUCCCAUACUCUGGCCCCCUUCAAUUGAAGGUCACCUUUCCUUCUAUUUAACUUUUUCUGAUUCUCUGCAUUUUCUUCCCUUUUUCUGAUUUCUCAGCUCUUGGAUAGUAAGACUAUAUUUUCAGUAGUAGCCAACAGGCUAGUGAAUAAAUGAAUAUUCACUAUUUUCAUUAGUGAAUAAAUGAAUAUACAAAAUACAAUCAGAACCUUAGAGAAUGGGAACCAGGUAGGACUGUAAACACAUGCAGAGAAACACCCAUCAUAGGGAAGGCUGAUUUUGAGUCUAGACCCUGGUCAUCUCACAGUGAACUAAUGGUACUUAAACAGAACCCUGGCUCCUAUGCCAUGCAGUGUGAAGUUGUAUCCUUUACUGUCUCAGGAAAUAUUUAGGGAAGAAGAGUGUUAUCAAGAAAGAACCAUUGAGAAACAACCUAUAUGACCAUACAGGGAAUUCAGCAGGUAAAUGGUGGUGUAGCCAAAUGAUAGAAUUCUUUGUAGAUCUUAAAUAUGAGUUUGUGGCCAGCACAGUGGCUUAUGCAUGUAAUCCCAGCACUUUGGGAGGCUGAGGCAGGAGAAGCACUUGAGGCCAGGAAUUUGAGACCAGCCUGGGCUAUAUAACGAGACCACAUCUCUACAAAAAAAAAAAAAUUAAAAAUUAGCCAGGUACAAUUGCACAUGCCUAUAGUCCCAGCUAUUUGGGGAUUGAGCUCAGGAGAUUGAGGUUGCAGUGAGCCAUGAUCAUAUCACUGUACUCCAGCCUGGGCAAAAGAGUGAGAUCCUGUCUCAAAAAAAGAUGAGUUUGCAUGAGAAUAUUUCAUGCCAUGGAAAAUCUUCAUGACAUAGUGAAAAAAUAGAUUAUAAAAUAUUAUGUGCUGUAUGAUCUUGGUUUUUUGUCUUAAUGUUUGUCCUUGCCCAGA